rnacentral:lncRNA from 1 species
AGUUCCUGCGACGCCCCUGCAGCAGCAGCAGCGUGGUCAGAGCGAGCUUCUGAGCGGUGGUGGGUUCCAUGUGAUGGUGGAGUAGGAGACAGGUCUCCGCGGUCAGUGGCGGGGGCGUGGACCCCACCGGGAACCCUCCCUGCUCCUUCCCUGCCUCUCCCUGUUUUCGUGCCCGCACUUCUUCGUGGGCAUCUGGGCCCGAGUCCUCCGCUUGGGGGCGGUUGUGCGGUCCUGGCUACUGCAGCGUCCGCACCCCGGCCGGGAAGGCUAUGCCAAUGUCCGACCCGCGUCCAGCGUAUAGGAGCGCCCUGGCCCACAGCUGGCGGUAAAACGCGGGACCUGGGUCCCUCGGAGCCCCAGGGGCCUCUGAGCUGGAGUCUAGGAUUAUUUUUGAUGCCUCAGCACCUUUAAAAAGAGACCUCGCUAGAGCAGGGGGCAUCUGUAUUUUCAGUUCUUUGAGGAGUCUCCAGCUAUUUAGCUGUUUUCCAUGGUUCAUCUGCGUUGCUCUAAAUGGGACUGUUUCAUUAUUUUGAUGGCUGAAGAAUAUUUCCUAGUGUAUGUAUAUGAGAGUUUCUUGAUCUCUUUAUCUGUGGAUGAACAGCUACUUUGAAAUAUAUGAUACAUUUGUGUUAAGGCUAGUCACGCUGCUGUGGAAUAGAAGGCCAGAAUUGAUCACUAUCAUCUGAGAGUAACUUUGUACCCAUCACUGAUUCCUUCCGAGACUGCCUCCACUUCCCCAGCAGCCUCUGAUUUCUUCAUGUGGCUGCAGAUGGCAGGAUUUCCCAAAGGUUUAUGGCUGCAACAUAUUCCGUGGUGUAUCUGUACAGCAGUUUCCUCAUUCCUGCAGCUGUGUUUGAACAGGUCAUUUACCAUGCGGUCCUCCAGGUUCAACAGUAUGGCUCCAAAUGAUGAAAUUUCAUUCUGAUUUUCUGGCUGAAGACUAUUCUGUUUGUGUAUGUCCACCACAGUUACUUUAUCCCUUCAUCUGUGGAUGGGCAGUUGGUUGGCAGAGAAUUUGAACUGGAGAUGAACUUUAUUAUCCAGGAUGCUGAGAGUAUAACAUGCAUGACAGAGCUUUUAGAGCACUGUGAUGUAACAUGUCAAGCAGAAAUAGGGAGCAUGUUUACAGCCAUUCUAUGAAAAAGUGUUCGGAAUGUACAGACUAGCACAGAAGCUGGACUAAUUGAACAAGUAUUGCUGAAAAUGAGUGCUGUAGAUGACAUGAUAGCAGAGUACCUUCAAGUUUAAAUCUGAGAGUGAUAUUCAUUUGGCAGAACAUCAUAAACAGGUUUUGUAUGAUGGGAAACUUGCAAGUAGCAUUACCUUUACAUAUACUGCUAAGGCCACUGAUGCUCAACUCUGCCUGGAAUCAUCACCAAAAGAGAAUGCAUCAAUUUUUGUGCAUUCCCAACAUGCUCUAAUGCUUCAGAUUCAAGUGCUUUUUCCACUGUUUCCCCAAUUGGAUAAUCGGCAGCUCAAUGACAGUCAAGUGGAAACAACUGUCUGGGGCCUAAUGUCCACCUAAGACGUGGUGUUCACCUGGGGUCUGAUGUUCAGCUGAAGACUGGAUGUCCACCUGGAGCUGAGGAAUCCACCCAGGGACUGGUGUUGAACUGGGGCCUGAUGACCACCGGGGGACAAGGUAUCCACACCAGGCUUGAUGUCCACCUGUCACCAGAUGUCUACCUCCUGCUUCAGGUGCAGAAAUACAGCGAUUUCCAGUGCCAGCUGUUGAGCCAGUGCCAGCACCAGGGGCAGAUUCCCCUCCAGGGACAGCGCUGGAGCUAGAGGAAGCUCCAGAGCCCUCCUGCCGCUGCCCUGGGACUGCCCAGGACCAGCCCAGUGAGGAGCUGCCUGACUUCAUGGCACCUCCUGUAGAGCCACCGGCCUCAGCCCUGGAGCUGAAAGUGUGGCUGGAGCUAGAGGUGGCAGAGAGGGGUGGCCAGCACAGCUCCAGCCAGCAGCUCCCACACUGCUCCCAGUCCUGGGCACAGUGGAAGCUAUGGAGGCAGAGACCAGGGUUUGCAAUCUGGGCUCCUCUGCCUCACUGGAGAGGGACUUCUCUCAUUCAGCAGAGCAGCAGCCCUGCUGCUGAAGGGCCUGCUGCUACUGCUGCUGGGGCUGUUUGCCUGCCUGCAGGAGGUGCUGGAGAGCAAGAAAAGGAGCCUGUGAGCAGGGGUUCCAGCAGGUCCUCCUGCUCCCAGAGGCGACCUCCUCCUCCAGGCAUGGAGGUUUGCCCUCAGCUGGGCAUCUGGGCCAUUUGCCCCUAACGUGCUGCCCAGGAUGGCCUCCUCUUGACAGGCGGACAGGGGGUGAGGGGGCCAGGGGGCAUCUCCAAAGGAAGCUUUUAAACUCAGCAGCUGCACCCCAGAAUCUGUAUGCCUGCACCUGCCCAAGGAUUUAUUCAUAGCUUACCUAAGAAUUUCAAAUUUCUACCAUAACACUGAAUAAAGUUUGACUUUUUGAAACUUC